UAUUUUUUGUAGAGAUGGGGUUUCACCACGUUGCUACAUCUGUGCACUUAAUUUGGAGAGUGGGGUGCUGCAUGCUUUGAAAUCAGGCUCAUGUGUACACAACCCCAUCCUUUGGAGGAUAUCAAUAUUCAGAUAAGAGAACACAUUUGACUUCCCCAUUUAUUGGCAACAUCCAUCUUUGUUAAGAGUUUAUUUUGUUAACUUUUUUUUCCAAUCCAACAAUGA
rnacentral:lncRNA from 1 species